GCCUCCGUAGCUCAGGGGAUAGAGCACCGCUCUCCUAAAGCGGGUGUCGCAUGUUCGAAUCAUGCCGGGGGCACCA
rnacentral:tRNA from 10 species